rnacentral:rRNA from 1 species
GAUGAACGCUGGCGGCGUGCUUAAUACAUGCAAGUCGAACGAUCAAGCCCAGCUUUCUGGGCGGAUUAGUUGCCAACGGGUGAGUAACUCACGAGUAGACUGCCCAUAACUCUGGCAUAAGCCUGUGCGACAGAGUGUAAUACCUGACAGGAGCGUUCACCACCCGGAGGGUGUUGGAAUGAUUUAUCGGUUUUCGAUGGAUUCGCGGGCUAUCAGCUUGUUGGUGAAGUAAUGGCUCACCAAGGCGAUGACGGGUAGCCGGCCUGAGAGCGUGAACGGCCACCCUGGGACUGAGACACGGACCAGAAGCCUACGGGAGGCAGCAGUCGGGAAUAUUGCACAAUGGGCGCAAGCCUGAUGCAGCGACGCCGCGUGAGUGAUGCCGGCCUUCGGGUUGUAAACCUCUUUCAGUGGGGAAGAAGCGAAAGUGACGGUACCUGAAGAGGAAGCACCGGCUAACUACGUG